rnacentral:misc_RNA from 1 species
GUGAAUCAUCGAAUUUUUGAACGCACAUUGCACUCCCUGGUAUUCCGGAGAGUAUGCCUGUUUGAGGGUCAGUUAAUUUCUCAAUCGGUGUGGUUGCUGCCUUUCGUGGUGAUGCGCCGGAUGUGGGUGGUCUUGCCUUCGGUUAAGUGACCUAAUAUUUCGCAUGAGUGUUUCGCAUGUAUUUAAAUGAUUUUACGUAAGGUUGAG